rnacentral:lncRNA from 1 species
GGGUCUCUACUAAUGAGAUGAAGCUGACAUGGCAAUCAAUGAGAAAAUCAAUGAAUACUCGAAUCAAUCAUGCACAUAUGAGUAUCAGAAUAUGCAAUAGAGGAUAACCGAAGUGAAAGUGGAUGCGUACCUGAUCAGCAAAUGGCAACGCGCUAUCACAAAAUGGGAUUAGCGCAUAGUAAUGAGCAUGAAGUAUAUCACUCAUAUCAUCAAACCAGAUAAAGAAACACUAAUAGCAUGC